rnacentral:tRNA from 1 species
UCUAAUAUGGCAGAAAAUUAUGCAAUGAACUUAAAAUUCAUUUAUAAAGACUAAUCUUUUUUUAGAAAUU